UUGAUAUAUAUGAGGAGCUAAAUAGUUAUCGCUACCAUGUAAAUAUGUACACAGUAUAAUAAUGUUACCAUAAAUAGAUACAUGGUUUAAAUGAAAUUAUGAAGUUUGAAAACACUAUUCAUGUAGUCCAUAUCAACAGAAUUUAUGUAGUAAGCACAUUAUCGUAUAGUGUUUUUUAACCGACGAUGUUUUUCAUUUGUGCUGACUAUACAAAUUGUCAAUAAACGGAUAUACUUUGUUAUUGUCACAUAAAGUUACAAUACAGCAGACAAUUUCGUAACACAUCAGUGAUUGAUUUGAAGAAAAAAAAGUAUAUUGUGACAUAUAUUGUGCAAUUUGGAAGGACUUGCAGUGAAAUCGACGUCCUGUAUAAUUUUUAUUAUUCGUUAUCAGUCGCUGUAGAAACAACAUCAAGCGAUUGAUUAAAAACGACGAACAUCAUCCGAUUUCCGGAUUCAAAUCGCUCGAAUCCGAAGGAAAAAAUAACAAUAUAUGGCAGGAAAAACUUCACCGAACAGAGCCUGGGAUCAACAGUUGCAACCAAGCAAUGCUGCUCCGUGUCUACGUUGAUAAUCAAUAUUUCACCAGGCACAUCAUCAUAAUAAAAUUGUAAUAAUUGCAAAAAUAAAAUAGAAUUCAAUGAAACUAUUUUGUUGUUCUUGUUCUAGAAUUCAAAUUCAUAAAACUUUUUAACAUUAGCUCAUGUUUUGCUGAUCUUCAGCAUUGUUGAAUCAACC